GGGACCGUAGGGUAGCUUGGUAUCCUUCGAGCUUUGGGUGCUCGUGACCCCAGUUCAAAUCUGGGCGGUCCCA
rnacentral:tRNA from 1 species